rnacentral:rRNA from 1 species
GUAGUCUCGCACAGAUGCAUAUCAAUAAGCGGAGGAAAAGAAACUAACAAGGAUUCCCUUAGUAACGGCGAGUGAAGCGGGAAGAGCUCAAAUUUGAAAUCUUCAAGGUUUUACCUUGACGAAUUGUAGUUUAAAGAAGUGUUUUCUGUUGAAGUUUUGGUAAAAGUUCUUUGGAAUAGGACAUCAUAGAGGGUGAGAAUCCCGUAUUUGACCAUUAUUUUCAGCUGUGUGAUACACUUUCAAAGAGUCGGAUUGUUUGGGAAUGCAGUCCAAAAUGGGUGGUAAAUUUCAUCUAAAGCUAAAUAUUGGCGAGAGACCGAUAGCGAACAAGUACCGUGAGGGAAAGAUGAAAAGAACUUUGAAAAGAGAGUUAAACAGUACGUGAAAUUGUCAAAAGGGAAGCGUUUGACACCAGUGUUGUUUUCUCGAAAAUCAAUUAAAAAGAGUUAGAUUUUGUUGUGUAUUGACCUUAACAGCUUGCAUUUCAAUUUUCUUGCUUUUUUUAAUGCACUUUUCGUUUAACAAGUCAACAUCAGUUUCUUUUGUUGUAAAAAGGUCAUUGGAAGGUGGCUUUCUUUUCGGAGAAAGUGUUUAUAGCCUUUGACUCCUGCAAUCGGAGAGACUGAGGUCUGCAGCGUAGAUCCUUCGGGGUUAGAUACAUUUGUGCUAAGUUAUAGCUUUUUAUAGACAACUUGUUGACUAUGAUUAGUCUUGUAGCUUACUCGCUUAUGCUAUUUUACCUACGCUUAGGAUGUUGAAGAUGUAGCACAUCAUACACGCAUGACACACUGCAUAUCAAUAAGCGGAGGAAAAGAGGGCUAUUACCUACGCUUAGGAUGUUGAAGUCAUCGUAUCGCGC